CACUGUCCGUCGCUAGUACCGAUUGGAUGGUUUAGUGAGGUCCUCGGAUCGGCCCUGCUAGGGUUGGUCAUGGCCCUGGUGGAGUGGCGAGAAGAUGGUCAAACUUGACUAUCUAGGGGAAGUAAAAGUUGUAACAAGGUUUCCAUAGGUGAACUUAAUGAAGG
rnacentral:ncRNA from 1 species